AACGAACGCUGGCGGCAUGCCUAACACAUGCAAGUCGAACGAGACCUUCGGGUCUAGUGGCGCACGGGUGCGUAACGCGUGGGAACCUGCCCUUAGGUUCGGAAUAACUCCCCGAAAGGGGUGCUAAUACCGGAUAAUGUCUUCGGACCAAAGAUUUAUCGCCUUUGGAUGGGCCCGCGUUGGAUUAGCUAGUUGGUAGGGUAAAAGCCUACCAAGGCGACGAUCCAUAGCUGGUCUGAGAGGAUGAUCAGCCACACUGGGACUGAGACACGGCCCAGACUCCUACGGGAGGCAGCAGUGGGGAAUAUUGGACAAUGGGCGAAAGCCUGAUCCGGCAAUGCCGCGUGAGUGAUGAAGGCCUUAGGGUUGUAAAGCUCUUUUAACCGGGAUGAUAAUGACAGUACCGGGAGAAUAAGCGCCGGCUAACUCCGUG
rnacentral:rRNA from 1 species